rnacentral:lncRNA from 1 species
GCGAUCCGCGGUGACGCUGUCUCACGGUGGUGUUGUUCCUGUUCCACAAGAGAAGGAGAGGAAAGGGGGAAACUCUCAAACGGCACCGGAUCGGAGGUCGACGAGGGAAACCGCGACUGGGGUUCACGGUGGCCUCUAGAGGUACGGUGGUUCCGUACAGGGGUGGUCUGAUUAGGGGUUGCCGGCGUCGUCUAGGCUGGCCAGAUGAGAAUGGUGCCCGUCGGGCAGAGCCAGUGGUGUGCGUGGGCUCGAGAGAGGCGCCCCCGCGAGAGAUGGUAGGGCCGGUGGCGCCGUGACCGACUGUGGUCCUGGUGGUGUUAGCUGUUGCCGGUCGUCAGGUGGAGGCGGUGGCGUGUGGCCCGGUCUGGCAGAGACGGUGUGUGCGUGGAUUUGAUGGAGGCAGACCCUUCCCUGGGUUUCUCUGCAGAGAGGAAGAGACCUUAGGUCUCUUGUUCGAACAAAAAUGAGAGAAAGGGCAGAACCCCUAAUGUUUUAGUUGGGAAGAAGGCCUUGGGCCUGGGCUGCUUCUUUGCUUCCUGGCGACGUGCAACUCCCAUUCACACCUCCCUCCAUUUCUAAAAAAAAAAAAAAGAAAGGGAGACCUUGGGCCUGACCAGCAAUUACUACACGCGCCCCCAAUUUUCAUCAGCUGCACCCUUGUCUUUGGACCCAGACAAAUUUCGAGCUGCA